GACAUCUGGGUCUCUGCUUGUCACUCUGCAGACAGCAUUGAGUGUGAUAGUCACGCAUGGAGUUCCAAUCAAGCCUGAGUCACCAGGGACCAGAAAUUCUUCAAGUAUUCCUGGAACGAAGUCCUCCACCAGGCAGCAAGGUCCCUCUUGUGUUGGUUAUGAAGAUUGUCUUGUAUCUGCUUCUCAGAGCAUGGGAACCAAUUCUCAUCUUGAGUGAGUCAAUUGAUCAGAACUUCGGAUUCUCCUGCCCCACCUUCCCAAGUGCAACACUUCACUCGGCUGCCUGUCCAUUUCCCCAUCUUCUGAAGCUGAGGCCCCUAGACCUUCCUCUGCAUGCUGAAACCUGCUCCAUCUGCAUCCAGGGCUGGGCUGCCUGGCUCCCACAGACCUGGAAGAAAAACCCACCCCUAGGAUAUGGGGCUGGAAAACUUGGAGGUCUUCAUAGGAUCAUGAGAUACCCCUGCCUCAGCCUCAUGAGUGCUGGGAUUUCAGGGCACGACAUCAAAUGCAGGAUUUGA
rnacentral:lncRNA from 1 species